rnacentral:tRNA from 1 species
UGUGCUGUGGUGUAGUGGUUAUCACAUCCGCCUUAACACGCGGAAGGCCCCAGGUUCGAUCCCUGGCAGGCACAA